rnacentral:rRNA from 1 species
UAGCCGUAAACGAUACUCGCUAGGUGUCGGCCACGGUGCGACCGUUGUCGGUGCCGUAGGGAAGCCGUGAAGCGAGCCACCUGGGAAGUACGGCCGCAAGGCUGAAACUUAAAGGAAUUGGCGGGGGAGCACCACAACGGGCGGAGCUUGCGGUUUAAUUGGAUUCAACGCCGGAAAUCUUACCGGGACCGACAGCAACAUGAAGGCCAAGCUGAAGACUUUGCCGGAUUAGCUGAGAGGUGGUGCAUGGCGUAGUCGUGU